rnacentral:lncRNA from 1 species
UAGAAAAUAUGUUGCUCCCUGAGGAACUGGAAAAUGGCAAUGGCUGGGUCCAGUGCUUGAGUGUCAGAAAGGGAAGGUAACCUGCAAAAGAAGGCUUGCACCCAGGUCCAAAAUGCAGCUCAACAAAUGAGCAAGCACAGAUAUUCAGAGAACCAAGACGGAAUAAACCAGGAAGCCAGACAGACAAGGAAUGAAGCCAGGAUAAAACCAGAGAAAACCUCCAG